rnacentral:rRNA from 1 species
GAUGAACGCUAGCGGCAGGCUUAAUACAUGCAAGUCGUGGGGCAGCAUGAGUGUAGCAAUACAUUUGAUGGCGACCGGCAAACGGGUGCGGAACACGUACACAACCUUCCUAUAAGUGGGGAAUAGCCCAGAGAAAUUUGGAUUAAUACCCCGUAACAUAACGAUGUGGCAUCACAUUGUUAUUAUAGCUUCGGCGCUUAUUGAUGGGUGUGCGGCUGAUUAGAUAGUUGGCGGGGUAACGGCCCACCAAGUCUACGAUCAGUAGCUGAUGUGUGAUAAUGAUAUGCCACGCAGGAAGUUCGCCACGUGCCCGACGUGUGCGGUAGGCAGCAGUAAGGAAUAUUGGUCAAUGUACGCAAGUCUGAACCAGCCAUGCCGCGUGAAUGAUUACGUCCCUCUGGAUUGUCAGCUUCUUUUAUCUAGGACGAAAAAAGGCUUUUCUAAGUCACUUUACGGUACCAGAGGAAUAAGCACCGGCUAACUCCGUGCCAGCCGCCGCAGUAAGAC